CAAACAGAACAGCUCUCAAGGAUCUGUUGGACUCAGACAACUAUAGCAUAUCUAAUAAAAGAAGAACUGUAUGCACCAUUCUAAGAACACAAGGAAACUGAGGACAGUUUCCCAGAAGACAUCAUCUCUAAGAUUGGUUCAAAAGCUGAAAUCUGGACAUGGUGGCUGUCCACUAUAAUCUCAACACUUAAGAGGCUGAGGUGGGAGAAUUGCUAUGAGUUUCUCUCGCUUGGAGACUGGCUGAGCAAGCCUGGGAGCUGGAAAACCAUGGCAGCCUAGUGGCCUAGUGAAGCCCUGAAGGACCCUCAACCCUGGGCUUGAGCUGGGACACAUAGGGACACCUUCCUACAGUGUGCUCUCUAGCCCUUUGAAGAACUCCUGAUCUGAGAUGGUUUCGUGUGAAAUUCAUGAGAUUCACCUGAUAACAACUCUGAGUUCCACUCUACCUCACUGACCUCUCUUUUCUGUUCGGUGUUCUUCAGGUUUGUUGGGUUUAAAAAAACAAAAACAAAAACAUGAAUGUGUGAAUAAAGAGCAUGAAGUUUA